CUUCUCCCACAAUACCUCGCGCUCUUCCUUUCCAACUUGGACCCGGCAGAAUGGCUCCCGCAAAGAAGGGUGGCGAGAAGAAAAAGGGCCGUUCUGCUAUCAACGAGGUGGUGACCCGAGAAUACACCAUCAACAUUCACAAGCGCAUCCAUGGAGUGGGCUUCAAGAAGCGUGCCCCUCGGGCACUCAAAGAGAUUCGGAAAUUUGCCAUGAAGGAGAUGGGAACUCCAGAUAUGCGCAUUGAUACCAGGCUCAACAAAGCUGUCUGGGCCAAAGGAAUAAGGAAUGUCCCAUACCGAAUCCGUGUGCGGCUGUCCAGAAAACGUAAUGAGGAUGAAGAUUCACCAAAUAAGCUCUACACUUUGGUUACCUAUGUACCUGUUACCACUUUCAAAAAUCUACAGACAGUCAAUGUGGAUGAGAACUAAUCGCUGAUCAUCAAAUACAUCAAAUAAAGUUAUAAAAUUGAAAAAAAAAAAA